AUGAAGUUGGAAUUGCAAGUAAUCGCGGAUCAGCAUGCCGCGGUGAAUACGUUCCCGGGCCUUGUACACACCGCCCGUCACACCAUGAGAGCCGGUAAUACCCGAAGUCAGUAUCCUAACCGCAAGGAGGGAGCUGCCGAAGGUAGGAUUGGCGAUUGGGGUGAAGUCGUAACAAGGUAAC
rnacentral:rRNA from 1 species